GAUGAACGCUGGCGGCGUGCCUAAUACAUGCAAGUCGAGCGAACAGACGAGGAGCUUGCUCCUCUGACGUUAGCGGCGGACGGGUGAGUAACACGUGGAUAACCUACCUAUAAGACUGGGAUAACUUCGGGAAACCGGAGCUAAUACCGGAUAAUAUAUUGAACCGCAUGGUUCAAUAGUGAAAGACGGUUUUGCUGUCACUUAUAGAUGGAUCCGCGCCGCAUUAGCUAAUUGGUAAGGUAACGGCUUACCAAGGCAACGAUGCGUAGCCGACCUGAGAGGGUGAUCGGCCACACUGGAACUGAGACACGGUCCAGACUCCUACGGGAGGCAGCAGUAGGGAAUCUUCCGCAAUGGGCGAAAGCUUGACGGAGCAACGCCGCGUGAGUGAUGAAGGUCUUCGGAUCGUAAAACUCUGUUAUUAGGGAAGAACAAAUGUGUAAGUAACUAUGCACGUCUUGACGGUACCUAAUCAGAAAGCCACGGCUAACUACGUG
rnacentral:rRNA from 1 species